rnacentral:lncRNA from 1 species
CUGCAAUAACCAUUCAUUUGUUCAUCAGUUACUUUCGUUCCUCCAAAUUUAAUUAGUGACUCAGGUCAGCUGCUUAGAUUAAGAAGAUAGAUGAUAGUUCUUGGGAGGUUGCUGUACUGUAAUGGCUCGAGAAUUGAGUAUGUAGACCAGAAUUUUGACGAAUGCAGAAAGGUGGUGAGAUUGUACCUGCUAUAGACAGGGUGAACAUUCCAGGAUGGUGAAUUGAGGAGGGUCAAGUUCGAGAUCUGGAUGGUAUCGGAGAACAUGAACUCGAUCAGGUAGGGGCGGGUGUAUUUCAGCUUGCCGCCGUGGAACUUCUGCCACCAGAAGGCGCCCUGACCGUCAAUAGUCCCGUUGUCCCCUGGUUCAAAGAGGCUGUGAUGAGCGAAUCGGGGGAUUGUACAAAGCGAACCGGACCGCGAAAACGAGGAAGUUAAGAGAGAAAUCAAGCGGGUGGGAUUUACCGGUAACGAUGACAUCGGUGAGAUUGGUGCCGAAGAUGAGGCUUUGAUACCUCCCAGCAGCUGCAUCCCUUCCUCUGCCAUAGGAGGGCAAUGGCUUGAGCGCAGGCCACUCCGUCAUGUCCUGUACACACCCCAGAGCACAACACACUCUGUAGUUAGAAUAUGCACAAAUUAAGCUCUUCUUUAGAUAGUUUUUUGCUUGUUAAUAUAGCCCUAGAACUCGAGACUCUUGAAACACUGGACUAAUUCACCGAGCGAAUAGUUUGUGCACCCUAAUCGAUUACCGGAUCAUGAGCCUUAAUGGCGCAUCUGAAGUUCAUGCCAAUGGACUCUCUAACAAGAACUCGCCUUUAGUGAAGUAGAGGGCUGUUCAGGCUCUUCCUAGGUCGUGGACUAAUUGUACAUGUGGAUCAUUGCUCACUCGACUUCUUCGUAGAUUGUGUCGAAAUCGAACUAAGCUAGGCCCGACUGAGCAGGCUCGAAUUUUUAAGUCCGGUUUACCUAUUUUUGACACAAACCUUAUCUGGUAAAGGGCAUUUUUACGGGAAUCCCUUGAUAGAUAUCUAAGUGGUGGUGGCUCGGUCCCUCGAGAAAUCAAGGAAAAAGUGAAAACCUCUUCGGCGAAUCAGCUUUUUUGCAUCUCCGCGGAAGAAAAAGGUAAAAGUACAAACAUACGAGGAAUAGGAAACAUGGUAAAGAAAACAUUGAAUAAGGCCGCUAGCAUAAAAAUACUAUGAAGACCGGUUGUACAAAGUUUCAUGUGGUCACACAUCAUUUAAUGUGACAAUGAACUUCUAUGGGUUUCAUUUCCUUUUUGGUUGACUUUUAUUGACCGUCGGUUACGAACCGAUAAAUCCUUUUUAAUGACCCAUUCAGAUCCCCCAAGAAACGACCAAUAGUUAUUGGAGAUAAAUCAGCCUAAAAAGAUGGGACCAGUAACACCCGGCCACCCAAGUAAAAUGCAAAAUAUAUAUUUAUGUAGAUAAAUGAACUUUUUUAUGGCCCAAAGAAAAACAAUAUUAUCAAAGAAAACCAAUAAAUCCAACAAAAUCUUGGUUACGCGAAUAUCACUUUUCAAUAAAAAAAAAACUUUUAUAUGUCCACUCCACUCCGUUCUACAUCGUAUAUUUGAAAAGUUCUACGUAAUUAUAAAAUCCAAUUUAACCUAAAUAAAUAAAAACUUAGGAAGGUAAAACAAAAAGGAAAUGUUCUCUUGUUUUACGGAUGAAGAAUAACCAACCUGGGAAGCAAGGAGAACGGCAUCGCGGUGGAGGUAGAGCGUGAAGUGGCUGACGAGGCUGAAGCUCCCCGUCAGCCACUUCCCCGCGGGGACGUACAGCUGCACGCCGCCGUCGUCCGCGAACUUGCUCAGCUGAUCGACGGCGGCCUUGAAGGCCUUGGUGUUCGACGUCUGCCCGUCCCCGACGGCCCCGAAGUCGGUCAGCGACGCGCUGUGCGCCCGGCAAUUCAUCGCCGUGUACUCCAACGCGUCCAGCCUCCUCAUGUUCCUUCCCUCCGCCCCUCCAUAAGCCAAGAACACCAAAACCGCCACCGAGAGAAGCGACGUCAUCUUUAUCAUCAUCCCCUGCAAAACAAGAACGCCAGAUCGCACAGGCGAUGUCAAAAACGGAAAAUGUUUUAUUCCUUUAAAGAAUGCAGAACGUGGGAAAGAGAAAGAUGAAAAAGGAGAGAGAGAGGCGACGAUGAGGGUAAGAGGGGAAGGAACUCACGGGCGAGUUCGAGGUUGCGGUAGGCGAUACAGUUUCGGGUGUUUUGUGCAGAGUGGGUGUGACGGAUGAAGUAUUUAUAGGCAGAAAAAAGGGAAGUGCGUUUGUUGUGUUGUGCUUCUGCUUUUCUUUUUUCUAUUUUCUUUUUCGUUUUUCGCUGUCGCUGUUUGUCUCUUUGAAGCGAAGGAAUGCUUGUCAGGGUCUUCCCACAUUUUGAAAAAUUGACGUAUUUGCUUCUCGUGACCUGAGAAAUAUUUGAAAAGAAGGGAUUAACUGAUAGAAAAAGUUGACAAAUUAUCCGUAAUUUAUCGAGCAGCAGCCGUGAUUGAAGCGUGGAAGGCCAUGGAGUGGCUAUUAUCCUAGGUAUAGCUGACGACAUGUUUCAACGCAUUGGGAAAGCAGAUAAGAGCCUGCUCUAUGGCUAUUCCUUCUCCUGGCCUUCGUCUUCAUCUUCGUCUUUGUCGCAGUCACAGCCACCGCCUCGAUUAGUCACAUGAUCACCAUUCCCUUCGUCAUCUCGUCGUUCUUGCUUGAAAGCACCAUGUGGCAAGAAUCUCAUUAAGACCAGCUUUUCUCUCGAUUUAGAUACCCCCCGAGUAAUUAAUUAGCUCUUAUCAACUAUGUUAGGCUUUAGCCACAGAUUAUAGGUUUGCUCAAUAGUGGGACAAGCAUCGACCUCGUUCCGGAUGUUAGGCCAUGUGAAGGAUCGACGGAAAUAAGAUAGCAUAUCCAGCACCUGAUGAUACGACGAGCAGGGAAAAAUCGAACUGUGGGCAUGUGACACGGGCUCGAGCGAGCUCGCAUUUUGGACUACCUAGCGUUGGAGAGCGGCAGUCAGGAGGGUCCCGCUGAGGGUUCACUUUCGUGUCGUCUUCCCGAAUUAUUUUUUGUCAUCCGAUCUCGUGAGCCUCCCCCCGCUUUUGAGUUGCCCAUUACACUCCCACUGACGCCGACCCACUUCUUCACGGGCGAUGCCCUGCUCCAUGAUUGCCCCCCAUCUUGAGGGGUCCAUUCCUCCAUUCUCCUCCGCCCCAUUCUCUAGCCGUCCCUUGCCCGACCAAACAAGCUCAGGCAAGGCAAGCACCAAUUGGAUUGGAGCAUUCUUAGAUGUUCCCAUUCUAGUCUCUCUUCCUGGUAUUCUUUCUGUUGCGAUGCAAACGAAGGUGAAUGCCUUGGUAAACAAAAAGAAACGAUUAGAUUGAAACGAAGUAGUUCCGCGUGGGAAAUUUGUGGAUAAGAGUUCGUGUAAUUUGCAUCCAUCUCUUGUGGAGAAUUACUAGAUGUAUAUUGUCUACGUCAAGAAGACUUGGUAUGGUAUGCAUGUGUCCGGUGUUUGGCUGAGACGACGCUCACGCCGCAGGAUCCUUGAGCCAGGACCAUUGGCCGAAUCAUUACAAUCGGUGCAUACCCUAGUUUGCUCUAUGAUGGGUCCUCCAAAGGGGGUCUACUCUUAACAAUACGAUUGAUUCACAUGCAAAUGCAAGGAGGAAAAAUUGUCCAAAAAAUCCUAGUUCUGAACCUUUCAAUUGUGUCAAUUUAAAUAUAAACAUUUUGAUGAUUUAUCAUUUUAGUCUUAAACCUUUUGACAAUUUGCUAAUUUAAUAAAUUCGAUCAAUUUUGGUUAAAAACUGCUUAUGUGAUAGUCUAGUCAAUGCAAGCCAUCUUGUGUGGUGUGGUUAGUAUUGACAUGAAUAUUUUUUUUUUUAAAUUUAUCAUUUUUGUCUUUUCUUUUUUCCCUUUUUCCCUCUGCCAACCAUCGCCACGCCUCAUCAAGACCUUAGGCAAAGGGCGCCCGUGCCUGGGUUGAUGAGGGUCGCCCUCGGGAGGCCCUCAUCUAGCCUGGCGAGGGAUGCCAUUGCCCAAGGUAAGGGAAAAAGGAAAAAAAAAAAAAGAGAAAAGGAAAUUUUUUUUUUUUAAAUGCAAACAUUGUCCAUGUUAGCGAUAAUCAUGCCACGUAGGACAUUUGGCUCUGACUAGACUAUCAAGUGAGCAAUUCCAGAUCAAAAUUGAUUAGAAUGACUCAAUUGACAAAUCAUUAAAAAAUUGAUGAUUCAAUUGACAAAUUAUCAAAAUGUUUACAAAUAAAUUAACAUAAUUGAAAGAUUUAUAGUUAAAUUGAUAAGGUAUAAAAAAUUUUAUGAUUAAAUUGAUAUAAUUAAUUGGUUUAUGAUUGAACUGGCCGCUGCACAAUAAAUUGAAGAUUUUUUAGAUAAUUUUUUCAAUGCAAGAAACGCAUACUACGCCAACUCCAUCCUUUUCGUGCGGUGGUUCGUGCAUCAGUCAUAUUUUGAGGUCCAUGUAAUACAGCCUUUGUUUUAUCUCCAACUCGUUGGAGUGUGGCGAGCUCUCUUUCCAAUCGUGGGGAAAUGCUGCCUCGGAGUGGACUUGAUGGAAUUUAACACUUUUUGUCUAUGCACGAAAGGCGUGCAGCACUUCACAUGCAUCUUACGGGUCUCUUUCUUUCGAGAGGAGGAGUACUUUUCUUUUCUGUGGGCGGAGAGACAUUUCCAAUUGAGCAAAACUACUAGUCGAUCGCCGACCCAUUAGUGGAGUGGAGUGGGUGCUGGACGAGGCUAUGGCUUUUUUUUUUUUAUCACCUACCCCUUCUCACGCCGAAAAAGAUAAGCCCCCCUUCAUCCAUUGACAUCUUUAUGUGAUGCUACUGGUGAAUUUAGGAACCGGAAACAAAGUUGGGACAUCAGGAAUGGAGAAAGAACUAGUAAUCUACAUGUAUACAUUUGCUAUGGGGCUAUUUGGCAACUUGCCAAACAGUAUUUGUUUUUGUUCUUUUGUUUUCAAGAGUAGUUUUGGAACAAAAAUGCGUUUGGUAAAAUUUUUGUUCUUAAGAACAGAUUUUGAGUAUAAUCGAAAAUAAAAAAAAGUUAAUUCUUGUUCCCGAAAACAAUUCUAGAAUCAAGCACUUAUUUUCUCUUUUUCUUGUUCUUCUUCAUUUUUUCUUCUUCUUCAUCUGCUGCCACCGCCGCUGUUGCUGUCCGUUGCUAUCUGCCGCCCACCGCCACCCACUAUUGCAGGUUGUCAACAACCGGUCUGGCGAGCUCGUCGGAGACAAGCCCAGCCAUUGGCGAGGUGGGCCUCACCCGGGCCUCUCUCGGCCACUAGCGAGGCUCGGCCAGCCUCGCCAAGGCUUGAUCGACGAGGGCUGACCUUGCCGAGGGUCAGCGACGCUUCAGUGAGGUUGCUAGCCCUUAUCUAGCCGGUUGCCGAUCAUCCCAAGGCCGGUGACUGGCGACUUGAAGAAGAAGAAGAAGAAGAAGAAGAAAUGAAAAAAAAGAAAAGAAGGAAAAAAGUAAUAAAAUUAUUUAAAAAUAAAAAAUAAUAAUUUGGAUUAGAAAUUUUGAGUACAGUAUCAAGCGCAAUUUUAUUCCAGAAUUGAAAAUGUUGUGCAGUUACCAAAUGCGUUCUUUUGCUUAGAAAUUGUUUUCGGGAACGGAAUAAAAAAGAAUUAUUUUUUAUUAAAAAUUGUUAUUGGGAACAAAAGCAUUACCAAACGCGCUCUAUGUCGUAUGAUUUCAAUUCUAGACAAUCAUAUGGCUUUUAUAGACACAUCUCUCUUACUUUAGUCAUUUCAAUAGCAAAUCACAUCUAAUUCAGGAAUCAUGUCGGACAGGUGAAUUGGUUUGGUUAGAUCAGACCAACAAAAAUCAUCAUGCAAAAUUAUGUUGUGUGGUGUUACCAUUGUUACAUGUAGUUGGGAGCUUGAGAUUUACUGAAUAGUCCAUGAAUUUUGGCCGAGUGUGUAAUGCGAUUCAUAAACUUUAACUUAAUGUGCAAUGUCAUUCUUGAAUUUUUAAUUUGUUCAAUGUGGUUCAUGAACUUUUAAUACAUGUUCAAUUUAGUUUAUGAAUUAUAUGAAAAUGUUCAAUAUUAUACUUUCAUUAGUUCAAGUUCAAAGAGAACGCUGUUGUAUAGUUCAAGAACUAAAUUGAAUAUGCACCAAAGUUUAUGAACAACAUUAAAUAAAUUAAAUGUUCAAUGACGACAUUGCAUAUUGGACUAAAGUUCAAAAAUCACAUUACACAUUUAACCAAAGUUCAUGAAUUAUAUUGAAAAAAUUAAAAAUUCGGGGACCGCGUUGCACAUUAACCCAAAGUUCAUGAUUAUUUGUGUCAUUUGCCCAAUUGGGAAAUAGCAAAAAUGAGUUCAUCUCAAAAAUAGGAGCGUAGAGCACAAUACUGGUAAAAGAGCAUAAAUCAUCACCAUCUAGUGAUAUCACUACAGUAAAUACUUAACAUAUGGGCUCGAAUAAAGCAUUGCAGACGGCAUCAGGAGGAUAUCAACAUUCUCUAGUUAUCUAUUCGAAAGUAAGUCACCGUCCAUCGUCCAUCGGUCAAGAUUCCAAGAUCAAGCAGCUUGCUUUUACAACAUAUCCUGCGUUUCAUAUUGGGCCCAAGGGCCCGUGCGUCGAAUCGAAAGGAAAAGUUCGAUGGUCAGCCCAGACUUGAGUCUGCAUCGGCCUUCCUUUGACAACGUUAUUGACCAUGCGAGAAAAAGGAUCAAGCACGAAUUGGGUCUGACUCGGCCUUGGCUAAUGUGACAAAGAGGCGAUUGGGAAAACAAACCAAAAAACAUUGUUCUCUUGUUAGUGCUCGAUGACAAUGUGAUCAUAGUUCCAAAAGGCAAGUUUUGCAUAUCGAAUGGAAAUGGAUUUGAGUGAAAGAUAGGCCGCCAGCUCCUCAGAGUAAAGUGCUUGGAAUAAAAGGAAAAUUACGGAAACGAGGCUUAAAGGAGAUGGAAGUACUGUGCUUCAAAGUAAAAGAAAUCAAAGGACGAGUACGUCUAAAGUAGAGGAAAUUGGACUGCGCGCAUGGGAAAUGAACUUCAUUGGAAUUAGCUCAGGUAGAUCGAGCUGCUCCUACUCUUUACUUGGAUCAAAGACCAACUAUUACCCACAUCAAGUCGAAAUUAGGUUGGAUGAACUCUAGACGAAGAUUGAACUUGAUACACCUUAGCCCCCAAUAUAUCUCACAACGGGACCAACUAUUACAGAUAUCAAAUCAAAAUCAGGCUAGAUGAGCUCUAGAUCAAGGUUAAUUUGAUAUAACUUGACUCUUGCAUUCUAUCCUUCUUUUUUCGUCUAUGCCUUAACUUGAACUUAAACUUAGUACAUUUGGGCUGUACAUAUACACCAGCAACACUUCUUUCAUGUAAUUCAUGCUAUAAAAGGUCAAUAGCCGAUGAUUACUCAGGUAAUGGUUAUCACGUCAUUUAAGUAUAGGGUCCAAGGAUAGACACAUAUGCAUUUACUAUUCUACCUAAUUACUUUAAAAUUGGGAGUGGAUUCUUUAGGAUCAAUUCAAGGUGCUCUCAAAUAUAGAAUGGGACCAAGAAAUAAAAUAUUCAUAAAAAAAAGGGUUACAAAUGUGUGGUUCUGCUUUAAUUGGAUUAUCAAUGAAAAAUUAUGAUAUGAUGGGUGAAAUUUGCCCAUCGCCAACUCAUUUCAUUGGAUCAGAUCAAAAGUGUCCUCCUCGUUCAACUAAAGAACCAAGAAACAUUGAGGUCCGCGGCUGGGUUCCACAAAAGAUAACUUCUACCAACAUUCGAUUGGGGACCAUGAUUGAUUCUUUCACUUAAUAAUUUAUAGAACACUUUGGUCACUUAAUAUGUGAAGUUCAGUUUAAUCUGUAUCUCGUUGGGCACGUUCAGGCUGAUAAUCACACAUACUUACUUAAAAAAAAAAAAUCAAUGACACGCAUCACUAUUCUAUGCAAGUGAUACAUACAAAAAAAGAAAUAGAAAAUCCUUAUCUGGGAUAUCUAUUCAAGUAAUCUUGUUUUUUUUUUGUUUUGUUUAGCAAAUUGAUGGGCUCGAUGAAACCAUAAACUUUGUCACCAACAAUAUAAACUUUUACAAGACAUACCGCAACUUUUAGUGGAUACCGCCUGCUACGAGUCAAAGUAGGCACGACAUUUUUGCACAAAUUCUUCAAAUGAGAAUAGAUCCUAACUCAAAUCCCCGGGGGGGGGGGGGGUGUCAUUUUCUCAACGAAUAUAGCCGUACAUCGAGCAAACAACAAAAGGUAGGGAAAAAGCGAGCGACGCCCCGCUGCGGAUGGAUUCGAUGAACAAGUCCAAUUGAAUUAGUCCAUCGUGUAGAAUAAUCUCAACAUAUUGAUAAGGAGUUUGCUUCUUAGGUUAGGCGAGAGAGAGGGAGAAGGAUCUUAUACGCGUGUAUGCCGUGCUGAGUCGAGUUCCGUGGCCGUCAUUUCCUUGUACCUAAAAAAAUCCACAUGAAUCCAUGAGAGAAACCUCGAAGGACCCAGAUUCAUGGGACCGACAGUACAACAUGAAGAGCUCCCACCCUUACUCUCUCCCAAAGCUCAUCACCUUCUUCUUCGCCUUCUUCUCUCUCUCUUACUUCCUUUACUCCCUCCAAUUCCUCUACUCUGCUCAUUCCUCCUCCUCCUCCUGUGAUACUUCUCAUAUUGAUAAUUCCGAUCACCACCACCAAGCACAAGCACAAGCACAAGCACUCUCUCCGCCUCCAACCCCAACGGCCCUCCACCACAUCGUUUUCGGCAUAGCCUCCUCGGCCAAACUAUGGCACCACCGCAAGGACUACCUCAAGAUCUGGUGGCAACCGGACCGGAUGCGCGGCGUCGUGUGGCUCGACGAGCCGCCGCCCCGACGCGACGCCGCGGGUGGCCAGGACGACUCGACCCUCUUGCCACCCGUGAAGAUCUCGAGCGACACGUCGGGGUUCAGGUACAAGAACCCCAAGGGCGACCACUCCGCCGUGCGGAUCUCCCGGGUAGUCUCCGAGACCUUCCGGCUGCUGGACGGCGAAGAGGUGAGGUGGCUCGUGAUGGGGGACGACGACACCGUCUUCGUGGCGGAGAACCUGGUGAGGGUGCUGUCCAAAUACGAUCAUAAUCAGUAUUACUACAUCGGGAGCUGGUCGGAGAGCCACCUGCAGAACAUAUACUUCUCAUACAACAUGGGGUACGGCGGCGGUGGGUUCGCCAUCAGCUACGCGCUGGCGAGAGCCCUCGAGCGGAUGCAGGACCGGUGCCUCCGGCGGUACCCGGGCCUUUACGGGUCCGACGACCGGGUUCAAGCGUGCAUGGCCGAGCUCGGCGUCCCUCUCACUCGAGAACCGGGUUUUCACCAGGUCAGUCUUUAACCAACUUCUAUCAAAUUGAUUAAUUUCAGUGUGAGGAAUAUAUCUGGAAAGCUUAACUCAUUUCAAACAAAGGCAAGCGCGAUGCACGCCGAAAGCUCUAUUUCCAUCGGAUUUGACCAGAAGAAUCGAGGAAAUGCAUUCUCGUUUUAUGUGGUCAAAUCAGAUAAAGAGCUUGUGACAUGAGCGUCCUAUCCAACAUAUUAAGCUAAGGAUCUCUUUAUCGACAAAGCACGCGAUCCGCGAUGAAGGAUCCUUUUCCCUUUAUUUCUUGCUUUUCCUUUAAGGGAGUGAAUUGCUUUCUGUCACGGUCAUGAUAAAUCUUCUCUCUCAGACUUCCCGAGAAUUUAGCCAAGCCUGUUGUCUAGAUAAACACGCCCUCACCUUAGGGGAUCAUGUGGAAUGGAAUCCGGACGUGGAAUCCAUUCCAAUUAAGUGCAUAGGCCUAGCAACGCCGCUGUCAAAACACUGCAAACCCUAAAUUUUCCGGCCGGCCUAAUAGGAUGUUUUGGACUUUGGACGAUCCGAAGAUACCAUCUCGUGAUGAUAUACGACGCACCAAUAGUUUAGAGUUGUGACCAUUUCUUGGGGAAGAAACUUGAAAAUGUCUUCACGAUGACAAGGGACAAUAUGUACUUAACCAUUUCAAAACGUCAAACCCCUCGCUCAAUCCAAUGGAGCGACCUCCGUUCUAAUUGUUGUUAGACCUGUCCAGGCACUAGGUGGUUCUGCACGCUCCUGGAAAACCUUCUUGUUUCAUUAAAUGUUGAGUACAAGCAUUGAAUAACGUCACCGAAGUGGUUCCAGCAAAGGUCGAUCAACCCAUCCGUUAAUGGCCGUCCAAAGUGGGACCGGACGGAAAGAUAAAAGAGAGGGAAUUUAGCACAAGUUCCGGCAACUCUUUUGGGCAUCAUCCACUUGGCUAGUGCGUAUAGGUCCUGCCUUUUCUUGUGCCUUCCAAAGUUUGACCUAGUCGGACAGGUGUGGAUCUAAUAGAGUUAGAUGUCGAAAAUCGAUGAAGGGUGCUGCUAUAGGCAUAGCGUGUCAAUGGACGGUCGAGGGAGCCUCUGCACUAACUAAAAGCACUACCUGUUUACCUAACCAACGACCCAUUGGCUUGAAUUGUUCAUCCAUUUUCCUUGUCAAAAUCGGUUGCUCAAAAAGUUCCCACUGCACGGGAGUUGUUGAAUCUCACAGUCGACUCCACAUUCAGCGGUUGAGGUUUCUUCCAAUUCUAAAAUUGAACUUUUCUAGAUCUCAUUUGUUAUAAUAAACAGCUAAAAGAGAAUAUUUAAUUCCCCCGUUCGCCUUUUUUCUUAAUAGAGUAACUGCACUUCGAUCUUAGGUAGACAUUUUCCAGCUUCCUUUUUAUCUAAGUUUCCCUUUUCUUGUUGAAUGGGUCGAUUCAGUUUGACGUGUACGGGAACGUAUUUGGGCUCCUAGCUGCUCACCCGAUCACGCCAUUGAUCUCGCUCCACCACUUGGACGUGAUCGAGCCCAUUUUCCCCGAAAAGACCCAAUUCCAAGCCCUGCAAAGGCUACGGACUCCGCUCGAACUGGACUCGGCUGCGCUCAUACAGCAGUCCAUUUGCUACGACCGGACCCGGAGCUGGACCGUGUCCGUCUCCUGGGGCUAUGCGGUCCAGGUAUAUCGUGGCAUCCAUCUGCCCCGGGACGUCGAGACCCCCUCGAGAACGUUCCUCCAUUGGUACAAGAGAUCCGACCCGGCCGGGUUCACGUUCAACACCCGGCCCCUGAGCAAGAACCCGUGCGAAAAGCCCUUCGUCUACUUCCUCUCGGAUGCGGUACACGAUGCGGGGACGAAUGCGACGGUCAGCGAGUAUGUCCAGCACGGGUUGCCGAGCCCGGAUUGCAAGUGGAAGAUCGCGGACCCAUCGAGGAUUCGCAGGGUGGAAGUCCACAAGAAGCCGGACCCGCAUUUAUGGGACAAGGUAACAAAUAGCGAAAACAACCUUUGCAUGUACGUGCGGAGGCUCAAUUGCUGAUCUAUCAAAAUGUGGUUUUGCGUAUGUUGUGCAGGCUCCUAGAAGAAAUUGCUGCAUGGUGUUGCCGACGAAGAAGAAGUCCACCAUGGAAGUGAAUGUGGGAGAAUGCAGAGAGGACGAGAAUGUCGAAUUGAGGUGACGUAGCUGGGAGAAGAUGAUCGUUUUCGAGUCCUCGGCGCUCUACACAGCACACCGGAUUGAAUCUGACUGCAGUUUAUUACACGAACCUCACUCGAUCGAAGAGAAACCCUUGCUGUCACGAGGAGCUAAGAGCAUAGUCACUUGAGUUUUUUGCCCAGAAAAAAACUGCAUAUGUUGUGUCUCCAGUCUCUACAAACAGCAUUAGUUCCGAUAUCAUCCAAAGUAUAUCGAAAUUUGAUGAAUGUGGGUUAAUUUUGCUUAAUUCCGGAGCCUUCGAGCUGAUUUUCAGAGUAAUAAUACCGCGAGUUCUCAAAUUUCCGUUCAUUCUACGAUCGAGUACUUAAAUCUUUUUUUUUUCCAAUCAAAUAUCUGGAUUUUUUAAAUGUGAAUCCAUGUGAGGUCAUCGUUAUAGUGACGCACAUGAUUUUAUUAAUUAUGGUUUAAUAAAUAUUUAAGAGUUAAAAUGUAUUGGUUAUGAGAAGUUGUAAUUUUCAUGAAAUGAAAAUGUGCAAUCUAUAUGAGGAAGUUACGGUUCUUAUGGAAAGGCAUGAAGGUAAAAUGUGCUUUGAUAAAAGGCACCUAUUGACAGUCUAUAUAGAUAGAAUCUCGUCCUCUCUCAACCCAUAAUGUGAAACGUGAAGAAAAACUUACGUUGUAUUUUAUCAUCCAUUAGACAUAAUAAGUUAAGGAAAAGUGGGUUAAGGGAGAGAAAUUAGAGAAAUCUGAUUUCUUCGUUUUCUCGAUUUUUCGUCAAGAGUAUCGUUAUGGAUAAAGGUAUGUCGUUAUUCAUUUCAUGGUGAAAAUCAUGAAAAUUAAAGAUCUAGUGUUAUGAUUUUUUUGCAUUAUAAAAUUAUAUUAUCGCUUAUAAUUGAUAUCAGAGUAUGGCUUAAGAUCUCAUAAUUUUUUUUUCAACUGUUGAAAUAUUAUGGUUCAGGGAUAAAGAUUCGUUGAAGGAUGAUGAUCCUUUUCAUGUUAUAUUGAUGUUGUUGGAAUGAUUCUGUCAGGGGGAAUCUGAAUGGUGAAAGGUUUAAUGGAAAAUGGGGCCAAAAACGAAGAAAAUGGUGAAAAAUGGAGGAAAAAUGGUGAAUAGGCUUGAGAGGGAGAAAUAUACGUGAAUUGCAGAUGCCCUAUGCAGCCCCACGCGCGUUAGAGGGUCAGUCGUGUGGAAUCCACGCUCCAUCUCCCCCACAUACGUGAUAAGGGCAAGCGCGUGGGAUUCACUGGCACGCUGCAUGGUUAGGUGCGCAUGAGACAUGCGCCUCGCGCGCGUGUAAUGCACGUGCCGGCACACCAGGUGAGGCGAGUGCCUUGCAUGCGCCUGUCAGACAUUCUCUUGUUAUAUUUACGAUUUUGUUCUCCAUGCCUAUUUACGAUCCAGCCCCUCUCUUGUUGGAUAUUUAUGAUUCUGCCCUCAUUGAUGGUUAUUUACGUUUUUGCCCCAUAUUUGCUGAAUAAUUAUGGUUCUGCCAUUGCUGAUUCUUUACCAUUUUCCCCUUGGAUAUUUAAUUUACGGUUGUGCUUCCUCUGGAAUUAUGAUUUUACAGUUUUAUCCUUAUCCUUUAAUUAUGGCUUUAUCCUUGGGUGCAAUUUGAUGAAUGUUGGUGCUUUACAAUAUUAAAAAAAAAUCAAUAAAUAAUGGUUUGUUAGUUACCAAAGUGGCCAAACUUUUAGGUAUUUUGGAUUUUUUUUAUAUUUGUUUUAUUCAAUUACCCAUGAUUAAUUGAUGCUAUGAUUGAAGUUGAUAUGUUAUAUAUCUUUAUUGAUAUUAUGGGUAUAUUGAAUUUCAUUUAUUAUAAGAAUUUAUGAAUUAACCCAAAACAAUUUCUUAUAAUUCAUGGACAUAAUAAUUGGUAAUUAAUAUUUCUUGUUAAAUUCGUUUGUUUAUCCAAAGAUAACAAAUAAAUUUUAAUGAGAUGUAUUUAUAAUUACUGAAUUAAAAUUAUUAGUAUCAUUAUGGUUUAAUGUAUAUUAGUAUAUUAGUAUAUCAUAGGAUUGCCCAAGGGAAAACUAUGAUGUACAUGUAUAGUUUAAUUUGAAUAUGAUUUUGUGAUAUUCUCAAAAAAUUAAUAUAUGAGUAUAUUCCUGCAUAUUUGCACUAUCUGUACCGAUUUCACUUCAUUUGCAUGCUUCAUCUGUUCAUUUGUUCAAUGGAAUAAAUUUCUCUAAUUAAAGUAAACAAGUUCAAUUUUACUUAAGUGUCUUAGAUUUUAAUUUGACACUUCAAGUUGAGAAAUCAAAUGCUAUUAUUGAUGAGAGUAGUAAUGAUGAAAAGACUUUUCAUAAGGCCUGGGAAAGAUCGAAUAAACUGAACUUAAUGUUCAUGAGAAUGACUCUUGCAAACAACUUAAAGACUAUCAUUCCCAAAACUGAUAGUGUUAAGAAAUUAAUGAAAUUUGUGGAAGUUCGUUCUUAAAUUGUUGAUAAGUCACUUGCAAAUGCAUUAAUAAGCACUUUGAUCACCAUGAAUGGUUUACGUACCAUGCAAGAGCAUGUUCCUAAGAUGACGAACUUAGUAGUAACGUUAAGGACUUUGGGAAUGAACAUGGAUGAGUACUUUUUAGUACACUCCAUACUUAAUUCCUUAUCUCAUGAACAAUAUGUACCAUUUCAAAUAAAUUACAACACGAUAAAUGAUAAGUGUAAUAUAAAUGAAUUGGCUAGUAUAUUCAUUUAAGAGGAAACAAGGAUAAAAAAUUAAAAAUCUCAUUCCAUUUAUCUCCUAAGUUAUUAAGAAACUAAAAAAGAAUUUCAAAAUGAAAGAUGGAAGUAGCAAGAAGAAAGCAUUACACAUUUUGAAUAAAUCUUCUAAAAUUUUUCAAAUCCACAAGAAGGAAUAUAAUCUUAUUAAGUGUCACUUUUGUAAUAAAGUUGGACACUUGAACAAAGAUUGUAUAAAUCAUAAAGUCUGGUCUAAAAAGAAUAGUAAACCUUGUGCUUUAGUAUGUUUUGAAUCAAAAUUUACUAAAAUUCCUUAUGAUACUUAGUGGAUUAAUUCUGAUGCUACCACUCGUGUGGUUUCUUACGAUUCAAACCGUAAAACCAAAUAAAAGUAUAUGAUCAUGGAGAAUAGAAACAAAGCCCCAGUUAAAGGCAUUGGCACUUAUCAUUUAGUUUUAGAUACUAGACAUUAUUUGGAUUUAUUUUGAAUCCUUUAUGUACCUACAUUUUCUCGCAAUUUAGUUUCUUUGCAAAUACUUGAUGUAACGAAAUUUCUUGUAAGUUUGUUUAUAAAUCUUUCAAUUUGUUUAAGAAUGAUAAUUUUAUUGAAAUUGUAACUUUAUGUGAUGAUCUCUACAAGUUUAAACUUAAUAAUGCUUUUGUUGAGACUUUAAUGAUCUUGCGUUAUAAUGUUGGCACUAAAUAAGGUUUAGUGGAUGAGAAUUCUGCUUACUUGUAAUAUAAACGUUGAGGUCAUAUAUCCAAUGAAAGAAUGCAAAAAUUAGUGAAAAAUGAAAUUCUUCCAAACUUAAAUUUUACUGACCUUGGACUGUGUAUUGAUAAACAAACAAAACAUACUAAGAAAAGUGCCACAAGAAGCACAUAGCUUCUUGAAAUUAUACACAUUGAUAUAUGUGAUCCUUUUAAUGUUUCAUUUUUUCGUAGAUUAAGCUAUUUCAUCACACUUAUUGAUGAUUUUUCAUGUUAUGGUUAUAGUAAUCUAUUGCACGAUAAAUUUCAAUUGGUGAAUGGACUUGAGGUGUAUAUUAAAGAGGUUGAGAGGCAAUUAGAUAAAAAUGUAAAAAUAGUAAAGUCGGACAGAGUGGCGAAUAUUAUGAAAAGUAUAAUGAAUUGGGACAAUAUCGGGGUCAAUUUGCUAAAUUCCUUAAAAGACAUGGCAUUUGUGUUCAAUACACAAUGCCAAGUACACCACAAUAAAAUGAUGUGGUGGAAAUGUGUAAUAAUAUUUUAAUGAAAAUUGUUAGGAGUAUAAUGAGUUAUUUAUCUUUACCUUAUCUUUGUGGAUGUAUGCAUUAAAUAUUUCUAUAUACUUAUUAAAUAGAGUUUAUAGUAAGGCAGUUUCAAAAACUCCCUUUGAAUUGUGGAUGAGAAGGAAACCUAAUUUACAACACAUGCAUGUUUGGGGUUGUCUUGUAAAAGUAAGAAUUUACAAUCCACAUAAAAAAAAAAUUGAAUUUAAGAACGACUGGUGGUUACUUCAUUGGUUAUGCUAAGAAAUUAAAAGGGUCUAGAUUUUACUGUCCUAAUCACAGUAUGAGAAUUGUUGAAUCUAGAAUUACUAGGUUCAUUAAAAAUGAUGGCAUCGGUCGGAGUGAAAAAAUGUGUGAUCCUCUACCAAAAACUUCUAACGUUGUUGUUCUCAUAUUAUAAUUCAACCCAACAAUAAUUAAGAAUAACAAAUAAAUGAUCAAACACUUGAUAAUGAAUAUAUCAACAUUGAAUCUAUAAUAGUUGAAAUAUAAGAAAAAACAUUAAGAAGAUCUCAACGAGAAAGGAUAUUGUCUAUUUCCGAUGAUUAUGUGGUUUAUCUACAAGAGUUGGAAAUUGAUUUAGGAAUUGGAAAUAAUCUAAGUUCAUUUUCUCGAGCCAUGAAAUGUGAAGAUUCUAAUAAAUGGUUUAAUAUCAUGAAAGAAAAGUUAAAAUAUCUGCAUCAAAAUCAAAUCUUGGACCUUAUUGAGUCAUUUAAAGGACAUAAAAAUGUCAGGUGUAAAUGGGUCUUUAAAAUUAAGUGCGACUCUAAUGGUAAUAUCGAACGGUAUAAGGCUAGACUUCUUGCUAAAUAUUUUAUUAAAAAAGAAGGCAUUGAUUAUAAGAAGACAUUUUCAUCGGUCUCCAAGAAAAACUCACUUAGAAUCAUUAUAACUUUGGUGGCUCAUUAUGAUUUAGAAUUAUUCUAAAUGGAUGUCAAAACCACAUUUCUUAAUGGAAAUUUAAAAGAAAAGGUUUACAUAGAUCAACUUGAGAGUUUUUAAUUAAAGGAAAUGAACAUAUGGUGUGUAAAUUAAAAAAAUCAAUAUAUGAACUUAAACAAGUUUCCUGAUAAUGGUAUCUUAAGUUUAAUGACCAUAACUUUAUUUAGAUUUAAGGAAAAUACCGUUGAUUCGUGUAUAUAUAUGAAGAUCAGUGGGAGUAAGUUUAUUUUCUAGUUUCAUAUGUUGAUAAUAUUUUACUUACUACUAAUGAUCUUGGUUUAUUACAUGAAAUCAAGAAGUUAAUCUCUAAAAAUUUUGUAAUAAAGGACAUAAGAAAGGCAACGAAUGUGAUAGAAAUAUAAAUAUUUAGUAAUAGAUCAUAAGGAUUGUUAAGGUUACCUCAGAAAUCCUACAUUGAGAAAAUUUUAGAGAGAUUCAAUAUGGAUAAAUGUUCAAUAGGAGUAGUUCCAAUUUAGAAAAAUGACAAAUUUAGUCUUAUGCAAUGUUUGAAAAGUGAAUUGAAACGAGAACAAAUGAAAUAUAUUACUUAUGUAUAUGUUAUUAUGAGCUUAAUGUAUACUCAAACUUGCAUCAAACUAAACAUUAGUUUUGCUAUCGGAAUGCUUGGCAGAUAUCAAAGUGAUCCUAGAUUGGAUCAUUGGAAAGCUGCAAAGAAAGUUUUCAAAUACUUGCAAGGAAUGAAGAAUCAUAUGCUCAUUUAUAAAUGAUUUAAUCAUCUUGAAGUGAUCGGAUAUUCAGAUUCAGGCCUAACCGGAUGUGUUGAUACAAGAAAAUUAACGUUUGGUUACUUAUUUCUUCUUGCUAGAGGGGCAAUAUCAUGAAAAAGUGUGAGGGAGUCAAUUAUUGUUGCAUCUACUAUAGAGGCUAAAUUUACGGCAUAUUUUGAGACCACUAUUCAUGGAUUAUAGGAGUGAAACUUUAUUUUAGGGCUUGUGGUUGUUAAUAGUACUACCAAGCUGCUAAAACUUUAUUGUGAUAAUUACGCAGCAAUCUUCUUCUCAAAAAAUGACAGAUAUUCUAAAUGUGUUAAAUAAGUUCAGAAAUAGAGUGUGUUUAGUACUAACUUUAUGUUAGUAAAUCUCUUAACAAAAUGACUGCCACCCAAGAUGUUUAAUGAACAUGUUUAAAGAAUAGGCAUUAUUGGAUGCCAUUAAUGAUUGUAUUACGAUUGUAUUAAGUUUAUGUAUUUGACAUUUUGAGGUCAUUUUUGUGUUUAUGAUAUAUCAUGUUUUUUAUUUAAUGUACAUUAUGGAAAUAGAUGAAUGUUAAACAAAAUAAUCUCUAACAAAGACAUUAUGGUUAGACAAUUAUUGUACUUCUCAUUUAUUGAUCAUGUUAAGUAGAGAACUAUGUUGUAGCACGUGGAAGAAACUAUGUGGAUUAAUGACAUACGAUCAUCAUGACUUACAUUAGUUUUCUUUACUUAAUUAUGAUUAUUAUGUGAUAGCCAAUUUAAGAAAACAAAUAGUAUAAUAUUAUUAUGCACAUUAUGGUCAUUAUUAAACCAUAAAAAGAAUGUCAUAUAUGUCAAGUGAGAGAAUGUAAGAAUUAUUGUAGUCUACAUGAUUUUAUUAAUUAUGGUUUAAUAAAUAUUUAAAAGCUAAAACAUAUUAGCUAUGAGAAGUUGUAAUUCUCAUUAAAUGAAAAUGUGCAAUCCUUAUGAGGAAAUUACAGUUCUUAUGAAAAAGGCAUGAAGGUAGAAUGUGUUUCUCUCCUUCGUUCCUCUUCUUUCUCCGCAACCCCAAACCCAAAGUUCUCGACCAUCGCUGCUACUCACCCAAUUCAACCUCCUCUCUCCACAUCCAGUCACGAGUCACCGUGAUCCCUCAUCUAUUUCUCCCUUGCGAUGGACAAAGUCGACCCAGAAUUAGCCCCUCUCACACUGAGAAGAAUUUGUAGCGACCACGUGCUUGAGCAUGUCCUGCGCAGGCAAGUGUAUAUACCAAGCUCAAAGAUUGUUGCUUUGAGCGAGAAAUGAGAAAUGAUGUUUUGCUGAUGUUGGGUUUUUGGAGCUAUGUGGAGAAUUUAUAUUGGGUGAUUUUGUAGGAUGGAGGGGGUUGGGCACAUCUUAGCGACCGAUGUUUAGAGGGAAGAAUUGCCUGCCUUUUUCUCUGGGAAGGAUUGCGUGUUUCAUGCUCAGGUUCAUCUCUUAUUUGCCAUUAAUUUCAGUUUUCUAUUAAGAGCAAAACGAGAAAAAGAUUUUGGGGCAAAUCAUACAAGGCCCAUACUAAGUUGUUAAUAAAAUUGAUUUAAAGCUUAAUAUGCUGGUUUUGUGCAACAAAUAAUGUUAAAUACGAACUUCAAAAUAGUAUUCCGAAUCACACAUCAACCAUUUGACAAAAUGCUUGAAUGGAGUACUGAAUUCAAGCUCAUAAAAUCAAUGCUUAAAAUCUUUAUUUUGCACUCAAUUUGUCCUAAUAUUGUUGCAUUAUCACCAAAUCUGAUUUUCCCUUUGAUUUUGCUCCAUGGAUCGUGGGUAGUGGGUUUUAGAAAUUUUGCACUUAUAUCAUAUUUCCUUUAAAAUGAUAGAAAAUAGCUAAGAUAAAGCCAAAUGUCUAUAUUGCGUUGCUAUUAUUGGUUGUUCUACUAAUCAAGAGACUAGUGGGAUGCAUAAUCAUCUAGGUAGAUAUAAGAAAUAUCCAAAUGCGAACAUGGAGUAAAGGCAAAAAAGUGAAUCGAAUGAAUUUGUUGGGUUGGUAGUUCUGUUUUUAGCUCUCAAGAUUCUAGUCGAAAAGACCUAGUAGCGAUAUUUAUUAUCGGUGAAUUACCCUUCAAGUUUAUGGAACUUGAGGCAUUUCAAAAAUUCAUGAGUAGAAUCCAGCCAAAGUUUUUAAUCCCCUCAAGAAAUAUAUUAAGGGAGGACUAUUAUAAGUUAUCCUUGGAGGAGAUAAGCAAAUUGAAAAAAAAUAUUCUUCCGAUACUUCUCGAAGGUUUAUCUUACGACUGACACAUGACUUCAUGUCAAAAUCUAAGUUACAUAUGUUUUACUACUCAUUUUAUAGACGUUGAUUAGAAGUUGCAAAAGAAAAUUUUAAAUUUUUGUUAAAUCCCAGGACAUUUGGCUGAGAUUAUUGGAAAAAUACAUUUUUUCUUUCACUAUUGAUAAUGCUAGCUUCAAUGACUCAAGAGUUUAUUACUUGAAGAAAAGACUUGACUCUUGGAAUACUAUCAAGUGAGUUACUCCAUGUGAGAUGUUGUGCUCAUAUUUUCAGUUUGAUUGUGAGAGAGGGUUUGAAAGAUAUAGAUGAUUCCAUCGUUAAAAUAUGCUUAGAUGUACUUUAUGUGAGGUCUUCUCCUUUGAGGUUGCAACAGUUUAAGGAGUGCAUUAUGUUGGAAAUAUUGAGUCCAAUAAUCUUGCAUGUUUGGAUAUAGAGAUUUGAUGGAACUCAACAUACCUAAUGUUGGAAGUGGCCUUUAAGUUUUCAAAUGCUUUUAUCUCAUUAGAUAUUUAGGAUAAAAGAUCUGCUGAAGAGCUUUCCAAGGUGAGAGGGUUGUCUCCUGAUGAUGAUUGCGAUUAUGCUCGCCGAUUUCUUCCUUUCUUGAAAUUGUUCUAUGACGAGACUUUAAAAGUAUUAGGCUCUUCUUACGUCACUUGCAAUGAUAUGGCAUAAGAUGUCUAGGAUUUGUAUGAUGAUUGAUGGAUAUUGUAGGAAUGAGGACAGGAGUUUGUGAGAAAUAGCCAAGAGAAUGAAAGUCAAGUUCAAUAAUUAUUUUAGCAAUGUGAGCAACAUAAAUGUAACAUGGUUCAUUGCAUAUAUACUUAAUGUUGGAAUUUUGUUUGUUAAAACAAAAUGAGUGCUUUUUACUUUGUCCUACAUAGAAAAUGUGAGAGCAGGUGGGUCAGUUUAAAAAUGUGGGAUUUCCUUUUUGUAGUUAAAGGAGUGAUUAGGUGGGGCUAGACCCCUUGCUAUUUAUUUAUUUUUAUUUUUAUUUUUAUUUUUUAGUUCAAAGGUUGCCUUUUAAUUUGAGAAUUUCGGAAAUGAAAUAUAAAUGAAAAUUCGAAAUUCUAUUUUAAAAAAAAAUAUUCCGAAUUUUGUUUAUGUCUUUUCAAGAUAACCUUUGGAAAAUUACUUAUCCGGUUUUAACUUUUUCCCGAAGGAUUGCAAUUGUUCGUUUUUUCGACUUCUUCCGAAGAGUCGCAUUUGUUUAUCCAAACAACUUUCUAAAGACGUGUUUGUUCGCAAUUUUCACGAAGAGUUGCAAAACUGUUUCAUAUAUAUACUUGUUAUUUUUCGGAAAGAAAUAGGGUGGUCAUUUUUCGAGUCUUCUUUCUGAAAAACUGCAGCCAAUUUUUCGAUUGUUUUUCUAGAGAGAUCCUAGAGAAAUACUAUAAUUGCUAUUUAGUAUUCUCAUCCGAGACUUUGUUGUAUCCUGGAUGAUUUUUUCCAGUGACCAUUAGCAACGUUGUGGGGCAAAUAAAUCCUUAAAGAAAGUGAUAUCACGCCUCAAAGUCCGAGUUGUUUUACUCGAUCCGAUUUCAUUGUUCAACUCAUUUCGAAGCACCAUAUUUACCCAACACUUAACCCUUGACAUAAGAUAGAGUAUGUAAAAUGGAUGAUUAAUCAAGUACAUGAAAGCAACCGGGCAGAAACUUUGUGAGAUACACAAAAACUCCGAUAUAAUUGUUUGAGCAAUAUCGCACAAGUACAUGCCCCCAAAGCAACGUGAAAUUAAAGGGGACAAGGACAGUGAACGUGUUGAUGUCUCUUGUGGUUGGUGCGGACAUUAUGAGUACAAUUCAUCUUAGCCAAAUGGGACAAUAAUAUGUGGAAGAAAAAUAUGAAUUAGAUAAGUAUUUGGAAGAAUGAUGUGAACGGUAUGGCUCCACCCUUGACAUCUUAAAUUGGUGCAAAGUCAAUUCUUCAAGAUAUCCUAUCCUGUCUUCCAUUGCUUGAGAUAUUUUGGCCGUGCUCAUCUCCACUGUAGCAUUAGAGUCUGCAUUCAACACAGGAGGUUGCGUACUUGACGUAUUUUGUAACUCCUUUAUCCCAAUCAUGGUAAAAGCUCUUAUAUGUAUUCAAGAUUGACUGCGAUCCGCAUUGCUUUUAUAGUUGAUAGAUGAAGACUUAGAAGAACUUGAAAAUUUCGAGUUAGGUGAGAAAAAAAUAACCAUGGAAUAUUUAUAUUUUUUUAUAUUACAAUUGAUAUUUCAAUUCUCAUUUUCAUUGUGAAUUUAAUGCAGAGUUGUCAACUACGACCUUUAACUUGAACUUAAUAGUGAUUUCACUUAAUGAUUAGCAAACUUAGAGUCGGGUAAAAUAUUUGUAUAAAAUAUGUGUCCUCGCUUAUAAUACUCUAUUUUUUAUUUUUAUUUGUCAUAGUUAGUUCUAGCUUGAAAUCAACCAUUUAGCUAUUUUUAAAUGGUCCAAGCUGUCAUUCGAUUAUCUUAUUUUCACCAUCUUACUAUCUUUGUCACAUUUUAUUGUUCAUAUUGAUCUCCUCAAUUGUGAGCCACGAAAUUCAUCCACGUUUGCUUUUUUCUAUUUUUUGAAUGAUUAGUUCACCCAAGUUCAUUGUACAAGAGAUAAGCGAAGAAUCAAAGCUAGAUUUCUUUGAAUAUGAAGAGAUGCUUAUAAUUAAAAUAUAAUAUGGUCGGAGAAAAUUGAGACUCUAUUCUAUUGUUGCCUUUCUGCUUCUCUUUUAUUAUUGAUGAUUUCCUCUCUUUUUUCACGAAGAUAAUAUCGUUGAGCCGAAAUUAUAUCAUUCAUGAUCAAGUAGUCUUUGAUUGCUAGUAGAAUUCCAAGAAGGACAGUUAAGGAAAUCGAGAAAUACUGAAAUUCUAGAUAUUCAACAAGUCAAUGAAAGUACUAAAUCAAGAUGAUUGUCUUACUUAGAGCAACAUAAAUGCUUAGCUCGGAAAAUUUUCUCUAAGAUAUGAAGAUUUUGUCAGUUUGGGAUAUGUACUUAGAUCUAUUGAAGUUAUGAGCCAUUUCAUAUGAUCUUUAGGAAUGGAGUUUCUCCCCAUCUUUUUGUUGGUUAAUUUUUGUUUGGUGCUCAUGGUUAUGGUAAAGCCAUUGGUUUUUUGAAAUUCAAUGUCUCGCAAUUAGUUUUGAAUGGGCUCAUAUUUUAUUAUUGUUGGUAUGCUUACAUAAAUUUGAAAGCACUUGCAAAUUGCAAUAAUCUUAUGAAGAUGUGAACUUUUUAGGAAAAUGUGAUCUUGCACGGCGUUAAUUAAAUGGGGUCGGACUGAUCCGAAAAUAUACAACCAAAAAAAAUAAAAUUAAAAAAUUCGAACCGGACCGAACCAAGUCACUGAAUUGGGGCCUAGGAAAAUUACUCUUGUAAUAUUCAACCAAAAAAACAAAAAUAAAACAAAAGUUAAAACCCAAAAUUAAAAAUCCAAAUCAAACAAGGGCUUGGGAAAAUUACUCUUCUAAUAUACAACAGAAAAAAAUAAAAAAAUAAAACAAAUGCAAAAACCGAAAAUCGAAAGCUAAAAGCCAAAAACUGAAAUACUGAAUUGAACUGAACCGAAAUUUUGGUUUGGUUCGUGUCUCAUUCGGUGGUUUGGUUCGUGUCUCAUUCGGUUCGAUUAAGCAAUUUUUCCUAGCGGUUCAGUUUAAUUAAGUUUUUUUUUUAAAAAAAAAAACUGAACCAAACAGAACUAUUAACACCCCUAAUUCCCAUUUACUAUAUAUAGAAUGACUUUGGACAAAUUACCCAUCUUGGCAUUCUAUGUGACCACUCAUAAGAUGGCUAAAUUUAUCCAAGUCGGUAUCGUCUCUCUUCAUCACCCAAUAUCUAGAUGGAGACGAAGCAUUUUUUUUUUUUCUAAAUAGGUGAGCCAUGUCAUAAAUUGUGCUUGAAUUUAUGGAGAAAGCGAACCACAUUAAUAAAAUCGCAUGACAUGACAACUUUUUAAUGGAUGCCUCACAUUGAGACAAUUUUAAAAACUUGAGAUAUUUUGCUGAACAAAAGAAAAGUACAUCUACUCAAUUGUUAGUAGACAAAAGUUCGAGUAUUUACGGCAUUGUUACCCUGGAUUUUCUUCUUAUCUUUUUUUUUUUUUUUUGGGUUUCCCCCGGGGGGCGGAGGUUUGAAAUUCAGAGUUGAAUUGGGCUGGGGGAUUGAAGUUCUAGACUAUUCCAACCGCUACUUUUCAAAUAUUGUUCCGUAUGGUGUGCUUUUCUCCAAAUCAGAUUGCAACCGCUACUUUUUCAAGUCGGGUUCCGCACGGUGUCCUUUUCUCCAAAUCAGUCUAUCCCAAUCCAUUUGCUUCCGUGACGGACCAUCUUCUUCUGGAGGUUAAAAUGGGAGCUCAAACGUUCACAAGACACGAGUAAUCAUUAGCUUUCAUAGGUUUGUGUCAUCGGGUAGAAUAUUCAUAGCAAACCUACAAAAUGAUACCGGAAAAUUCAAAGCUUUCCAAGGAGAAUGGAAUAUUAUUUUUGAUCUGAACCCGUCCAUUAGUCAGAAAUGUUAAAUUCUUCUGAUGAUAAUGAUUGAUCUCAACGGCACAAACUCUAUGUCCGCCAAGAAAGAUUAAAAGUGGGAAUCAGCGAUCAACGUCGACGGCCUCCCGAGCAUUAUCAUAAGAGUCCAAGGUUCCUGCCUACCAUUGGAAUUUUGGUGCCUGAGUUUAUCACCAGAUGGGACAGAAAAUCCUUCACCCCGUGGGACCCGACCGAAUCCGAACUUUGUAUGGUCCUCAAAACCACAAACUUCCAAAAUGUGACUUGUAUUGUCAGUUCGAACAUGUUCACCAAGUUCACACCACAUAUUCCCAAUCAACAUAUGCAGCUUUAAUAUGUUGUUUAAUUGCCCCCCAAUCAUCAUACUUACUCCUCAAAAUCUCUUAAGCGUGACCUCAUUGCUCACGUGGGAUUGACCCGACCCGUCCUGUCCUAAGAUUAGCGGCCUAAUACAACCCCCCCAACCCCCCCCCCCCCCCAAAAAAAAUACCCCAAGUGUUAAUUCUAUUUCAUCUCAUAAAAAAUCCAUUAAUUUUAGGUCUAGUAUCAAUUCUACAUUAAUUUUUUUUGCUUACAAUGAAUCACUAACUUUUACCUGAGUCUUAUAUCACCCUCCGUUCAAAAUCAUCCUUCAAUGAUGUAACAUUUCCACGUCAUUACUUUAAUUUUCUCCUGCGUUUUAUAUCCAAAAAAAAAAAAGCAAAAAGAAAAAAGUUUCCACAUCAAUCCAAAUCACGCCCUUUUUGAACUGAAAUUUGGGGGAAAAUAUACUAAUUAGGGUUGGCUUUCUUCAGGAAAAAUAUCAAAAAAGUCUUAAAUUUUUUGUAUUUUUGCCAAUUUAGUUCUAAACAUUUUAUUAGUGCCAAUUUAAUCAUUCCGGCUAAUUUUGCUAGGAUUUUGCUACUGGGUGCCAGUCAAUUGACAUGCGGUGCUAACGUUGACAACUUUUAAUAAUAUUUUUAUAUUUUUUGAAUUUUUUAUUUUUAUUAGCCCUUUUCCUUUUCCUUUUUUCAUUUUUCAUUUUUCCUUCUCCUCUUCCUUCCUCUAGCUUGUGGUCGGACCUUGGCGACCAACCAAAGGCGAUGGUUGGUGAGGUCAAGGUUGACCUUGCCGGCCUUUGGUGGGCCUCCUUAGCCACUGGCAAGGCUCAACCUCAUCGGAAGCAAGAUCAGGCCUCACAUAUGGCUAGCAAGGAUGAGCCUCCCAACCUAGCGUGAGGCCGCAAUCACGGCUUAGGUAGCCUCGCUAGAGGCUAGGCAAGGCUCGACCUCACCAAAUCUAGCGAGAUCUAGCCUCGCCCAUGGCCGAUGAGGCUUGACUCUUGCCAGAUUCGACAAGGGCGAGCCUUGCCACAUAGUGCAAGUAGCCCUCGUGGCCUCUAGCAAUGGCUCAAGCCUCGUCAAGCAUUGCCUUUGGCCAGUUGCUGAGGUUCGGCGACUAGAUAGAGGAAGGGAGAGGAGAAGAAAAAAUAAAAAUAAAAAUAAAAGGAAAAAUGAAAAAAAUUGAAAAUAUCCAAAAAAUAUUAAAAUAUUAUUAAAAAUUGUCAAUGUUAACACUAAUCAUACUAUGUCAGUCAACCGACAUCCAGUUAGCAAAAUUCAAUCAAAUUUAGAUGGAAAUGACUGAAUUGGCACAAAGUGAAAAUGUUAGGAAUAUAUUUGUACUAAUAAGAGAUUUAUGACUAAAUUGACACAAAUAAAAAAAUUCUAGGACUUUGUUGACACUUUUCCCGCUUUCUUCAAUUGCCUCAUUCUUAAGAGAGUCUUCCUUCCAUCUUGCUUGACGCUCUUCAGUUUUGUACUUGGUCUUCAGUCACUCGUGCUUGAGAGUCUUCCCUCUCUCGCAGUCAGAAAAGUCAUGCUUGGAGUGCUUGAAUAGCUUGCACCUAAGAGCUUUCUCAAGAGAAAUUUUUGAAAAGAUGGUCAUUGGUUUUUUAAUGGGAAAAAAAAAGUUUAUGGUAGAACUGAUAUUAAACUUAAAUUCGAAAAUAUUUUGUGGGGCAAAAAGGAAAAGUUUACUACAAAAUUAGAUUUGCAACUAAAAUUUCAUGUUUUCAAAUGUAUCGGGCCUAAGAUUUAUUAAAGAGUUUGAAGAAAUUAUGAGAUGAACAAGCGGUGUGGCAUCGAAUUAGAUGAGCGGGAAAAACGUCAGGGUCCACUCGCAUAGACGUCAGCGGCGGGCACGUGUUGCCGCACAUCGAGCACUCCCGCAUCCACAUACAUCUCUCGCCCGAACAUGAGCCGCACAUGCAUUAUCCCUCAAAUCUUAUGCUUAUUUGCCGGAUGACACUCUACAGCAACGUGACAAAGAAUCGUAUAUGCGCACGUAUAAUCCAAAUUUAAAUCUAAUAAGAGUCAAACGCACUAUUUAUCUUCCCCCAAAAUCCUCGAUGGCGGCGGAAAAAGCCAAUGUCCAUGGCGGAUGCACCGUACGAACAAGUAUUUAUCGUAAGCCGCAUGUGAAACCAAGUUGCACUUCUCGAGCACGUAAUCGAAAAUAUAUUCCAAGUGGCACGGGACUGCUUAUAGGUGGUCGCAUGAUCCUUGCCUCUGGCCCAAGUCAUCAGCGAAGUUGACUCCUCAAAGAUGACAAGUUGCUACAUUCCCAAAUUCAUCUAAUUAUCUCCCCCCCCCCCCCCCCCCCAAGCAAAUUUGGAGCUUACCCAUAAAGGAAAAUCAAUUCGACAUGCCGAGGGGGUUGCCGGCACAAAAUGGUGGGAAGCAAGAUCGCUCAGUCGGAGAGAGAGAGGUCAAACGAUUUUUGCCCCGAUAUAACAUUAGCUCCGGCGGGGGAGAUGUGAAGGAAUUUCCAAAAGCGUUUUGAAGAUGAAACGACGAGCUUCCUAGAGUUACGCACAUAAUGCUCGUGGAAGUGACGGAAGUUAAAUUGAAAGUAUAACAAAGUAUAAUGAUGGAAAUUUAUGUUUUUCUUUUUAACAUUAGUUAUGUCUACAAGUUGUUAAAAAAAGUCGCAAAUAAUAAAAAUUAAUUGGUCUCAUUGAAUUAACUUUUACUUUUGUUCUUUUUACCUAAUCAAAAUUUUGCAACACGUGUACAUGAACUUCUUGAAAGCUGGAACAUUUGAAACUUUUACUAAAUUCAAAGGCUGACACGUAAAUUCACAUACAAAUGGUACGUCGAUUAAGUCCUUCCUAUGCAUAGUAUAUAUAGAGAAGUACAGAUUCGGUUUCACUCCACUCCGCACAUUCCUCAUACGCUCCUCCUUCGGUCACUAAAACUCUUCUCUCUCUCUCUCUGUGACACACGUCACCGAGAGAUUGAGAGCGAAAGAUGGACUCUGGCACCAUGACAAGAUCAUCACCACCUUCAUCAUCUCCUCCUUCGUCUGGUGGAGCUAAGAGAAUCCUCAGAGAGGCGAUAUGGGUCUUGUCCAUGGUGGUGUUUCUCGGGACUGUUCUGAUGUGGAUCAUGUUGCCCACCAACACGUACCGCGAGCACUGGUUUCCCAGCAUCUGGGCCAAAUCUAGCACCUCCACCUUCUUCGGCUAUCAAGGCAUUGAAUCUGGCUCCGCACUUCCCCUACCUUCUUCCUUUUUCACCCUUUUUCCUGUCCUUGUUACUUUUAAUUUCCACUAAAUCAGAGUUCUUUCGUGCGUUAUGGUGCAAAUAAAAAAAAAAAACAGGUUACACGAUGCUGAUGUUCACAUUCCCGGUCCUGUUCAUUGCUUGCUUGGGCUGUGUGUACCUCCAUCUUGGAAACGAAUCGAUCGAACCUCGAGUGGGAAAGUAUUGAUCUAUUCCACGGCUGUUUGAUUCGUCUGUCGGUUUAUCGGCUUGUUGAACUAUGCUUGAAUUAACCUUAAUGAUGGCAAAACAGGAAUGGCGUGGAAAGGAAGAAAGGACUGGCAAUGUGGAAGAGACCGGUGCUGGUGAGCGGGCCGCUGGGGAUCGUUUCGUGGACCGAACUGGCCUUCUUCGUGAUGUUCAUAGCGCUCCUGGUCUGGUCCUUCGCGACGGACCUUCGCAUCAGCUUCCUCGACAUCGAGCGAACGGGACCGAUGGAUGGGGAUAAAAUGUAAGGAACCUUUUUCUCACGCGCCAAAGUGGCUUUUCACACUAACCUAAAAAUUCUUCCGAGGCAAAAGGGUUUCGUUCUCCUGUUUUAAUUUUCAAUGGAAACAAAAGAAACAGGCUUGAAAUCAUGCGUUCCUCUUACCUUUUAUUACUUAGGAAGGUUUUUCUUAAUCUUACCUUUUAUUACUCGAGAGAAUCUUCAUGGCUUUACUUGUCUAAAACCCAAAAAGUUGUCAGCCAAUAUUUUUUUAUUUCAAGCAAUCUAUUGGAGCAUAAUAUUCGAGAAAACCAUAAUCAUAAGAACACGAGCGUAAAAUUUCCAAGCAUGAUGGCAGGUGGGAAGCGAAACUGGAGAGGUCGGGCUUGUGGCUGGGGAGCGUGGGGAACAUAGCGCUCGCCUUGCUGUUCUUCCCGGUGACCCGAGUAUCGUCGGUGCUGCCGCUCUUUGGCCUCACCUCGGAAGCCAGCAUCAAGUACCAUAUAUGGCUCGGCCACAUCGUCAUGGUCCUUUUUACCACGCACGGUCUCGUUUACAUCCUCUACUGGGCUCUCACUCAUAGAAUCUCCGAGGUAAAAAUUAUAACAUUCCUUAUUUAAGUCGAUUUAUUUACUGUUUUUUUUAGUAUGAUAUCGAAACAUGGUUUUGAGCCUAAACCCACCUGAAGUCAAGAGUUAAGGUACGAUUUUCAGGGUAAAAGAAAUCAACCCCUUUUGAACAAAGAACGGUAGCUCCACGUAAAUGCUGAGAUUUCGCUGAGCAUGUGGCUUGCAUUGACGCGGAAGUUGUCUGUGUCGACGUCAGUACCGUCGUUUCGGAAACUUUUGUUCGUUCUUUCGCAUAUAUCUUUUAUUUUUUGUUCAUUACUUUAUCGACGUCACUGCUGGGGUGGCACCGAGAGCGGUGCUUUGGAUCGUACGACACCAGGUCGGGCCCACCACCGUGUUGGACGGUCAGGAUCGUCGGGCGAGUUUGACCGGUGCUCAGAAAAAGCGGGGGGGCGGGGGCGCGCAUCGUACCGAAGAAAUUUCACCCAUGGAAAUCAACCUUUUGGGCCCCACUAUUAUGGCCGGGCCCACCUGACCGAUCCCUUUGGCACAGGCUCACAUGGUCUCUUUUUUUAAGAAUUUCUUCUGUUCUUUUCCCCAUUGGAAACUUCUCAUGAGUUUUAUUAAAAUAAUUAAUAUCAUGAAAAAUCCUAAUCUCUAAAUUUAUCUCAAAUUAGUAUAAUAUGAUAAAUUUAUAUUCUAUUAAUUUUUAUUAAAUUUUAUUAUCAAAUUAUUGAGUUGAAUGACAAAUGACAAUUAAUAGAUGUAUCAUUUUGUAAUUUUACUCUCCAUUUAUCAUAAUUAUACUAAUUUUGUAGUUUUUUGUGAUAUUAGUUUAGGAUUUUUAAUUAUCAAAAAAAUAAUUUAGGGUAAAUUUAUUAAUUGAGCUUUUUAUGAUCAUUUUGGGUAAACUUCUAAAAGAGAUAUUAGUUUGGAGUUUUUUAUGAUUAGAAAAUUAAUUUGAAAUAAAUUUAUCAUAAAUAUAUCAUUUUAGAGUUUUUUUGUGAUAUUAUCUCUUAUUAAAAAGCUGAAGUUAGUGUUUUUCUUACAGCAAGAAACUCUAAAAAUAAUUUCAGACUCCACUAAAAACCGGCAGGAUGAAAUGAUAUAAUUUCAACUUGCUAACUUACGCUACGUACUUUGUUAAAAAAAAAAACUUACGCAACGUACUGUAUGAUUGGAAGUGUAAAGAUAGGCGGGCGUAUGUGUGCAGAUGGUGAAGUGGCAGAAGACGGAAAUAUCGAACGUGGCGGGGGAGAUAUCGCUGCUCGCCGGGCUGGGGUUGUGGGCGACCACCUUCCCCCGCGUGAGGCGGAAGAUGUUCGAGCUCUUCUUCUACACCCACUAUCUCUACAUCCUCUUCAUGCUCUUCUUCGUCUUCCACGUCAGCUUCUAUUACUCCUGCAUCAUGCUCCCGGGCUUCUACCUCUUCCUGGUCGACCGCUUCCUCCGCCUCCUGCAGUCCCGCGGCUGUGCCCGCCUCGUCUCCGCUCGCGUCCUGCCCUGCGACACCGUCGAGCUCAACUUCUCCAAGACCCCAGGUGAAGAAACGAUGACAUUGUAUUGUGUCGUUCGAGUACUUGGUUUUUCGGAUUCGGGUUCCUUGUUUCCCUCAUUCUUGUUCCGUAUUUUGUGAGUUUGAGCAGGUCUAGAGUAUACGCCGGCGAGCAUCAUGUUCAUAAACGUGCCGAGCCUGUCCAAGCUGCAAUGGCAUCCGUUCACCAUUUCCUCGAACAGCAACUUGGAAAAGGAUAAGCUUAGCAUCAUCAUCAAGAACGAAGGGGCUUGGUCUAAGAAGCUCUACCAAAUCCUUUCUUCUCCUUCUCCUCCCGAUCGCCUCGAGAUCUCCGUCGAAGGACCUUAUGGACCCACCCCGACUCAAUUCCUCAGGUAAUAUGAUUUGCUCGUUACGUUGGAUGGGUCUCGAUAUAUCAUUUGUUUCGGUCCAUUUCUAAGUUAGAACAUACCAUGUAAUCAGUUUCUUUGUGUAAAGGUCUCCUUGUGUUCACCAUUUCUUUUCCAAAUUUAGGACUAUCUGAUGUGUUGGCGUCAGCAAUAGAAUGAAUCUGUCUAAUAAUUUCUAAUUAAAUUUCUCUACUUCAGGUAUGAGAAGCUGGUAAUGGUGAGUGGGGGCAGCGGGGUCACUCCAUUCAUCUCCAUCAUCAGAGAAUUCAUCUUCAUGAGCACCGCAUUCAAGUCAAUGACUCCUAAAUUGACCCUCAUUUGUGCCUUCAAGAACUCCUCCGAGCUUACCAUGCUUGACCUCGUCCUGCCCAUCUCAGGCACCCCAUCCGACUUAUCCAACCUUCAGCUUCAGAUUGAGGCCUACGUGACUCGAGAAAAAGAAGCCACCACCCAAUCCCCCAAACAAGCCCGAGCUGUUUGGUUCAAACCCAGUUUGCUCGACGAACCGUUGUACGCGAUUUUAGGCCCCAGCGGUUGGCUGUGGCUCGGUGCCAUCAUUUCGGUCUCUUUUGUCAUGUUCCUCAUAUUGAUAGGGAUCAUUACCCGCUACUAUAUUUACCCAAUAGAUCCCAAACAAAACGAGUUCCCUAUCACUGUCAGGGCGGUCCUGAACAUAUUGGUCAUGUGCGUAUGCAUCGUCAUUGUGGCUAGCACAGCUUUUGUUUGGAACAAGAGGACAAAUGCCAAGGAAGCGAAGCAGAUCAAGCACUUGAACGGGUCAGCUGGGGUGCAUUCGCCUGAUUCGGGGCUCUACAACGCCGAAAGGGAAUUGGAGAGCCUCCCACAUCAGUCCCUUGUCCAAGCCACUAAUCUGCACUUUGGCGAAAGGCCUGAUCUAAAGAGUAAGUAUUGGAUCAGACCUCAUAUAAAAAUAUGAGCAGUUCCAAGUCGCUUCAAGUUAAUGGUCAUCUAUUCACAUACCCAUUUGGCUAGGAUUCUCUUUUCUGUUGACUCUCUAUCUCUUAUCCAAUAGUAUACGGGACUACCACCCACAAAAACUCCCUCCUAGUCUGCUGUCUUCGACUAACGCUUUGGCCUCGCAUAUCGGCACUGACUUUUGAGAACCAUCUGUGACAUUUUUGCAGAAAUGUUAUUUGAGUGCAAGGAGUCAAGUGUUGGAGUCCUGGUUUGUGGUCCAAAGAAGAUGAGGCACGAGGUCGCGGCCAUCUGUUCAUCUGGGCUGGCUAAAAACCUGCACUUCGAGUCCAUCAGUUUUAGCUGGUGAUCCAAGUCAAGCCGUCUCCCCAUGGAAGAAGCUGAUUGAAUGUAUUGCGAUUUGCCGGCAAUGCAAACUUGCGGAAUGCGCCUCGCUUCGUAUAUACGUUGCGUGUUGUGAUGACGUGGCUUUCCCCUUUUCAGGGCCAGCAAAGAGGGAAGUAGGUUAGAAAAAGCAGAUUAGUUGGUGUGUUUCUACUAAAUCUCAACACAAAUAUGUGCCUCGGUUUCCCUUUUGUUGGAGAACGGAUUUGUUGCCGGUGGCCCAGGAAAAAGAAUGGACGAACCUGGAUUAAUCCCAUUGGUGUUCGGGGACUUGACCGGGGCAAGAAUGGUGAUGCCUUGCACAAGAGUGUUACCAAUAACCAUUCAUUGGUUCAUCAGUUACUUUCGUUCAUCCAGAUUUAAUUAGUGACUUGUCUCGACUGGCUGGAUUAGGAAGAUUAGAUAAAAAUGUUUAGGAGGUUGCUAAACCGUAAUGGCUCGAGAAAUAAAUAUGUAGACCAGAAUUGCGAUGAAUGCAGAAAGCUGGUAAGAUUGUACCUGCUGCAGACAGAGUGAACUUUCCAGGAUGUCGAAUUGAGGAGGGUCAAGUUCGAGGUCUGAAUGGUAUUGGAAAACAUGAACUCGAUCAGGUAGGGGCGGGUGUACUUCAGCUUGCCGCCGUGGAACCUCUGCCACCAGAAGGCGCCUUGACCUUCGAUAGUCCCGUUCUCCCCUGGCACAAAGAGACUGAUGAGCGAAUUGGGGGGAUUGUACAAAGCAAACCGGAGCACGAAAACGAAGAAGUUAAAGAGAAACCAAGUGAGCGGCAUAUACCGGUGACGAUGAAAUCGGUGAGAUUGGUGCCGAAGGUGAGGCUUUGAUACCUCCCCGCAGCCGCAUCCCUUCUUCUGCCAGAGGAGGGGCAACGGUUUGUAGCGCAGGCCACUCCGUCAUGUCCUGUGCACACCUCAGAGCACAACACACUUUGCAGUUAGAAUAUGCACAGAUUAAGCUCUACUUUAGGUAGUUUUUCACUUGUUAAUAUAGUCUGAGAACUUGAGACUCUUGAAACACUCGACUAAUUCACGAAGAGAAUAGUUCGUGCACCCUAAUUGAUUACUGGAUCACGGGUUAAAUGGCUACUCUCCUUUUUUUUUUGUGGGGGGGGGGGGGGGUUGCAAAUUCGGAGUUAAAUUGGGGUGGGGGAUUGAAGUUCUGAUAGCUCAAUAGCAAAUGGGCAGAGUUCCAACCGCU